rnacentral:ncRNA from 1 species
AACCGAGGGGCGCUGCAGCAGGUCAUACCUGUCAGGCUCGGUUGGGGCGUUUGCAGGGUCGGCACUGACCGGCCUCGGGUCAACUGGCCCGGACGCACAACGGCGCCCAUUCGC